AUUUUAUCAUAUACUAAAGGUCAUAUAAGAGACUAUACUAGAUAUCAGCCACUGAAUGAUGAAUACCUUCCAGUGUUUGGUCCUUGUUGCUGCUAUUGGAUUCAUCAUUACUACCCACUACUACAGUCUCUGCUGGUGGUGUCGGAAUCCUUUGCUACAGUGAUGAAAACUGCAAAAAUUACAAUAAAUCUGUCAAUAUUGCUAGUGGUUGCUGUAUCCAACCUGAUGUUGAGUCAUACAAGUAUUAUAAAACAGGGCCUUGCAUUAAAUGCAAAGGACUGUGAGGUGAUGCAGUAUAGGCUGCAGGGAGAAAAGGCAAACUGAGCCUUAACAAUUAUUAAUAAUAAAAUAGCAACAAUAUAUAACUAACUUUUCACAAUAUAGUUCAUUAAACUUAUAAUACGUGUGCUUUGAUAAUGGUAUAACAGUGGUUCUACUGAAA